rnacentral:siRNA from 1 species
ACAAUCACAUCGCAAAAGGUCAC